AGAGUUUGAUCCUGGCUCAGGACGAACGCUGGCGGCGUGCUUAACACAUGCAAGUCGAACGGAAAGGCCCUGCUUGCAGGGUACUCGAGUGGCGAACGGGUGAGUAACACGUGGGUGAUCUGCCCUGCACUUCGGGAUAAGCCUGGGAAACUGGGUCUAAUACCGGAUAGGAGCCAUUUUUAGUGUGAUGGUUGGAAAGUUUUUUCGGUGUAGGAUGAGCUCGCGGCCUAUCAGCUUGUUGGUGGGGUAAUGGCCUACCAAGGCGGCGACGGGUAGCCGGCCUGAGAGGGUGGACGGCCACAUUGGGACUGAGAUACGGCCCAGACUCCUACGGGAGGCAGCAGAAGGG
rnacentral:rRNA from 1 species